UACGUAGGUGGCAAGCGUUGUCCGGAUUUACUGGGCGUAAAGAGCGCGCAGGCGGUCGAGUAAGUCGAAUGUGAAAGCCCCCGGCUUAACUGGGGAGGGUCAUUCGAUACUGUUCGACUUGAAGGCAGGAGAGGGCAGCAGAAUUCCCGGUGUAGUGGUGAAAUGCGUAGAUAUCGGGAGGAAUACCAGUGGCGAAGGCGGCUGCCUGGCCUGUUCUUGACGCUGAGGCGCGAAAGCCAGGGGAGCGAACGGG
rnacentral:rRNA from 1 species